GGCAUGAUCUAGAUUGUUAAAUGGGUUCUGCCCCCUGAAGAUCUGUCAGGCAACUUCAAGAAAUUCUAGAGCUUCCACCCAAUAUAGAAGAGGUGUAUGCUAAUGGAUGCAUCUCAUUGGAAAGGUUUCCCGAAGUAUAGAGAAAGUUUCAAUUCAAUACUUGCAACUUAAGGGCAUUUCGAUGGAUUGAAUUGUUCAGAUGCUAUAAAAUGUUUGUGAAUAUACGGAUUCAUGUGGCAAAUCCUUUAUUCGAUGAGGGACAUCUUAAUGACUAUUUUGGUAGCAUUAUAUUUCCAGGAAGUAUG